AGAGCGCAUGGGGGAUGCCUAGGCGCCAGGAGGCGAAGAAGGACGUGGCAAGCGACGAAACGCUGCGGCGAGCUGCAAGCGAGCCUUGACCCGCAGAUAUCCGAAUGGGGAAACCCGUCAGGCUAUAGUCUGACAUCCUGAGGGAGGCCAACCCGGGGAACUGAACCAUCUAAGUACCCGGAGGAAGAGAAAGUAAGAACGAUUUCCUAAGUAGCGGCGAGCGAACGGGAAAGAGCCCAAACCGAUGCGGCGUGACAGGGUGCAGCCGUUUCCGUAUCGGGGUAGAGGGGCGAUGUCGGGGGACCUGCACGGACCCGAAUGGAGUUGAAAUCAUAUCUGAACGGAACUGGGAAGGCCGGCCAGAGAAGGUGAAAGCCCUGUAGGAGGCAUGAUUUUGACCCAUUUUGACAUUGUACCCAAGUAACACGGGUGCCGAGAAAGCCUGUGUGAAUCAGCGAGGACCAUCUCGUAAGGCUAAAUACUACCUGGCGACCGAUAGUGAAGCAGUACCGUGAGGGAAAGGUGAAAAGUACCCCUGUUAGGGGAGUGAAAGAGUACCUGAAACCAUGUGCUUACAAGCAGCCAGAGCACUAUUUAACAGGUGUGAUGGCGUGCCUUUUGUAGAAUGAGCCGGAGAGUUACUGUACGUAGCGAGGUUAAGCAUGAGAAGUGCGGAGCCGGAGCGAAAGCGAGUCUGAACAGGGCGACAUAGUUGCGUGCAGUAGACGCGAAACUGGGUGAUCUAGUCAUGGCCAGGGUGAAGCGUGGGUAAAACCAUGUGGAGGCCCGAACCGGUUACUGUAAAAAAGUAUCGGAUGAGCUGUGAUUAGGAGUGAAAAGCUAAACGAACUCAGAGAUAGCUCGUUCUCCCCGAAAUAGCUUUAGGGCUAGCCUCAUAAGAGUCUGACGGGGGUAGGGCACUGGAUGGGUCAGGGGCCGAAAGGUUACCGCCCCCAACCAAACCGCGAAUACCGUCAGAUGCUUUAUGGGAGUCAGACUACGGGUGAUAAGAUCCGUGGUCGAGAGGGAAACAGCCCAGACCGUCAGCUAAGGUCCCUAAGACAGUGCUAAGUGGGCAAGGAUGUGAAACUGCUCAGACAGCUAGGAGGUUGGCUUAGAAGCAGCCAUACCUUGAAAGAGUGCGUAAUAGCUCACUAGUCGAGUGGUUUUGCGCCGAAGAUGUAACGGGGCUAAAGCACUGCACCGAAGCUACGGCCCAGCACUCAAUUAAGAUCUACCGGAGGUUUUAGUUUGUAUUACGUUUAUGUAUUACAGAAUAAGAUCGACAAAAGAAUCUACAUUGGGUAUUCCAGAGAUUUGAAGAGAAGAAUCUAUGAACAUCACACGACAGGAAUCCAAGGGAAUGCACAAGGUAGAGAAUGGGAAUUAGUUUAUUAUGAAGCGUUUCGUUCCAAGAUUGAUGCACAACAAAGAGAGCAGAAACUAAAAGAUCAUGGACAGAGCAAGCGCUGGUUGAAAGAAAGACUAAAACAUUCCUUAGAGUAGGUUUUAAUUGAGUGCUGGGGGUAGGGGAGCGUUCUGUAGUAGGAAGAAGGCGUACCGAGAGGAACGCUGGACGAGGCGGAAGUGAGAAUUCCGGCAUGAGUAACGAAAAACCAGGUGAGAAUCCUGGUCGCCGAAAACCCAAGGUUUCCUGGGGAAGGUUCGUCCUCCCAGGGUUAGUCGGGACCUAAGGAUAACCCGAAAGGGGAUACCGAUGGACAACAGGUUAAUAUUCCUGUACCUGUUUAAGUUUGUUUGAGCGAUGGGGUGACGCAGGAGGAUAUGCGAAGCGCACUGAUGGAUGUGCGUCCAAGCGUGUAGGCGUUCUGGUGCAGGCAAAUCCGCACCGGAGUCAAGCUGAGGCGUGACGGGGAGCCCGUAAGGGUGAAGGAGCAGACUCCAGACUGCCAAGAAAAACCUCUAAGUGAGAACUUAGACAGCCCGUACCGUAAACCGACACAGGUAGGUGGGGUGAGAAACCUAAGGCGCGCGAGAGAACCCUUGCUAAGGAACUCGGCAAAAUGGCCCCGUAACUUCGGGAGAAGGGGCGCUGGAGAAUGUGAAAUUGAACAUAUGGAGCAUUCACCAGCCGCAGUGAAAAGGCCCAAGCGACUGUUUAUCAAAAACACAGGUCUCUGCGAAAUCGAAGAGAUGACGUAUAGGGACUGACGCCUGCCCGGUGCCGGAAGGUUAAGGGGAGCGGUUAUCCCGCACCUACUUUGAUUCUGGAAAGGGAGAAAGUGAAAGCUUUCAUCUGAGUACGGAGUUAAAGUAGGUGCGGGAGAAGCUGUGAACCGAAGCCCCGGUAAACGGCGGCCGUAACUAUAACGGUCCUAAGGUAGCGAAAUUCCUUGUCGGGUAAGUUCCGACCUGCACGAAUGGCGUAACGAUUUGGGCGCUGUCUCGGCAAGGGGCUCGGUGAAAUUGUGGUACCGGUGAAGACGCCGGUUAGUCACGGCUGGACGGAAAGACCCCGUGAAGCUUUACUGUAGCUUGCCAUUGUUGUUUGCGAUAUGAUGCAUAGGAUAGGUGGGAGGCGAUGAAGUGUGUUUUUUGGGAUGCACUGAGCCGUUGGUGGAAUACCACCCUUCAUAUUGCGGGCAACUAACCAUGGAGCAAAGCUCUGGGACAGUGGCAGGUGGGCAGUUUGACUGGGGCGGUCGCCUCCGAAAGAGUAACGGAGGCGCGCAAAGGUUCCCUCAGGCUGAUUGGAAACCAGCCGAAGAGUGUAAAGGCAGAAGGGAGCUUGACUGAGAGACCGACGGGUCGAACAGGAACGAAAGUUGGUCUUAGUGAUCCGGUGGUCCCGUAUGGAAGGGCCAUCGCUCAACGGAUAAAAGCUACUCCGGGGAUAACAGGCUGAUACCGCCCAAGAGUUCACAUCGACGGCGGUGUUUGGCACCUCGAUGUCGGCUCGUCACAUCCUGGGGCUGAAUCACGUCCCAAGGGUUGGGCUGUUCGCCCAUUAAAGUGGCACGCGAGCUGGGUUCAAAACGUCGUGAGACAGUUUGGUCCCUAUCCACCGUGACCGUAGGAUACUUGAGGGGGUCUGCACCUAGUACGAGAGGACCGGUGUGGACAGACCACUGGUGUACCAGUUGUCCCGCCAGGGGCAGAAGCUGGGUAGCUAUGUCUGGAACGGAUAAGCGCUGAAAGCAUCUAAGCACGAAGCCGGCCCCGAGAUAAGGUAUCCCUGAAGGACCCUUGAAGAAUACAAGGUUGAUAGGCUGGAGGUGUAAGCAUGGCGACAUGUUAAGCUGACCAGUACUAAUAGUCCGAUCGACUUGAUC
rnacentral:rRNA from 1 species